AUGGACCACCACCAGCACCAGCAGCCGCCGUCGCCGGCGGACGCCAAUUCGAAGCCGCCGACGCCGUCGAGCACGCACGCCUCGCGCCACGCCUCCGGAGCGGCGCUCUCCUGGCCGCCCUCCUCCGCCGAGGGCGCCCCGGCGCGCGGUCCGGCGUCGUCGUCCGCCUCCUCGGCCCCGGCCACGCCGGCCUCCCGCACCGUCUACAGCGACCGCUUCAUCCCCAGCCGCACUGGAUCCAACCUCGCGCUCUUCGACCUCGCCCCCGCCCCCUCCUCCUCCUCCGGAUCUGCCGCCGCGGCCGCGCCCCCCUCGCCCUACUGCGCGCUCCUCCGCGCGGCGCUCUUCGGGCCCGACACGCCCGACCGCCUCGCCUCCUCCGCCGGGGCCUCCUCCUCCUCCGCGGCCUCGCCCGUCGGGUCCCCGGCCGGCGGCAACAUAUUCCGGUUCAAGGCCGAGGUGCCGCGGAACGCCAAGAGGGCGCUCUUCGCCGGCGGGGACGACCAGGACCUCCUCUUCCCAGGCAUCUUCACCCCCAAGGGCUCCGGCCCCAGGAAGAUCCCGAGGUCGCCCUACAAGGUGCUGGAUGCGCCCGCAUUGCAGGACGACUUCUACCUCAACCUCGUGGAUUGGUCUUCGCACAAUGUCCUCUCGGUCGGAUUGGGGAAUUGCGUCUACCUGUGGAAUGCAUGCAGCAGCAAGGUCACCAAGCUCUGCGAUUUGGGGGCGGACGACACCGUUUGUUCCGUCAGUUGGGCGCAGCGUGGCACCCACCUUGCUGUAGGGACUAACCAAGGCACCGUCCAGAUAUGGGAUGCAACACGCUGUAAAAGAAUGAGAACCAUGGAAAGCCAUCGCAUGCGAGUAGGUGCUCUUGCCUGGAACUCUUCAUUGCUUUCUUCUGGCAGUCGUGACAAGAACAUCCUUCACCAUGAUCUCCGUGCUCCGGAGGACUAUGUUAGCAAACUCACCGGGCAUAAAUCUGAGGUCUGUGGGCUCAAGUGGUCUUAUGAUAACCGCCAGCUUGCAUCUGGUGGAAACGACAACAAACUUUUUGUUUGGAAUCAACAUUCAGUACAGCCAGUGCUGAAGUAUACUGAGCACACAGCAGCUGUGAAAGCUAUUGCCUGGUCACCUCAUCUACAUGGCCUUCUUGCAUCUGGUGGUGGAACUGCAGAUAGAUGCAUAAGAUUUUGGAAUACGACCACAAAUACACACUUGAGUUCCAUGGAUACAGGGAGUCAGGUGUGUAAUCUUGUGUGGUCAAAGAACGUGAAUGAGCUUGUUAGCACCCACGGAUACUCCCAGAAUCAGAUAAUAGUGUGGCGGUAUCCAACGAUGUCAAAGCUUGCCACGUUGACAGGACAUACAUUCAGAGUAUUAUAUUUAGCCAUCUCCCCUGAUGGACAGACAAUUGUUACUGGUGCUGGUGACGAGACGCUCCGGUUUUGGAACGUGUUUCCGUCUCCCAAGUCCCAGAGUUCCGACAGCUUAAGUAGCAUUGGAGCGACAUCAUUUGUUAGGAGCUACAUCCGGUGA
rnacentral:rRNA from 1 species